rnacentral:rRNA from 1 species
CGCUGGCGGCGUGCUUAACACAUGCAAGUCGANCGGGAUCGGCCAAGCUUGCUUGGCCGUGAGAGUGGCGAACGGGUGAGUAAUGCGUGACCAACCUGCCCCAUUCUCCGGAAUAGCUCCUGGAAACGGGUGGUAAUGCCGGAUGCUCCACAUGACCUCAUGGGAUUGUGGGAAAGGGUUACUGGAAUGGGAUGGGGUCGCGUCCUAUCAGCUUGUUGGUGGGGUAACGGCCCACCAAGGCUUCGACGGGUAGCCGGCCUGAGAGGGCGACCGGCCACAUUGGGACUGAGAUACGGCCCAGACUCCUACGGGAGGCAGCAGUGGGGAAUAUUGCACAAUGGGCGAAAGCCUGAUGCAGCGACGCCGCGUGCGGGAUGAAGGCCUUCGGGUUGUAAACCGCUUUUGAUUGGGAGCAAGCGAGAGUGAGUGUACCUUUCGAAUAAGCACCGGCUUAACUACGUGCCAGCAGCCGCGG